CCAAGCCGACGAUCUGUAGCUGGUCUGAGAGGACGACCAGCCACACUGGGACUGAGACACGGCCCAGACUCCUACGGGAGGCAGCAGUGGGGAAUUUUGGACAAUGGGCGAAAGCCUGAUCCAGCCAUGCCGCGUGCAGGAUGAAGGCCUUCGGGUUGUAAACUGCUUUUGUACGGAACGAAAAGCCUCUUUCUAAUAAAGAGAGGUCAUGACGGUACCGUAAGAAUAAGCACCGGCUAACUACGUGCCAGCAGCCGCGGUAAUACGUAGGGUGCGAGCGUUAAUCGGAAUUACUGGGCGUAAAGCGUGCGCAGGCGGUGAUGUAAGACAGAUGUGAAAUCCCCGGGCUCAACCUGGGAACUGCAUUUGUGACUGCAUCGCUGGAGUGCGGCAGAGGGGGAUGGAAUUCCGCGUGUAGCAGUGAAAUGCGUAGAUAUGCGGAGGAACACCGAUGGCGAAGGCAAUCCCCUGGGAUAAUNAUUGACGCUCAUGCACGAAGAGCGUGGGGAGCAAAAAGAAAAUAGAUACCCUGGUAGUCCACGCCCUAAACGAUGUNUACUAAUUGUUGGUGGAGUAAAAUCCAUGAGUAACGCAGCUAACGCGUGAAGUAGACCGCCUGGGGAGUACGGCCGCAAGGUUGAAACUCAAAGGGAUUGACGGGGACCCGCACAAGCGGUGGAUGAUGUGGUUUAAUUCGAUGCAACGCGAAAAACCUUACCCACCUUUGACAUGUACGGAAUCCUUUAGAGAUAGAGGAGUGCUCGAAAGAGAGCCGUAACACAGGUGCUGCAUGGCUGUCGUCAUCUCGUGUCGUGAGAUGUUGGGUUAAGUCCCGCAACGAGCGCAACCCUUGCCAUUAGUUGCUACGAAAGGGCACUCUAAUGGGACUGCCGGUGACAAACCGGAGGAAGGUGGGGAUGACGUCAAGUCCUCAUGGCCCUUAUAGGUGGGGCUACACACGUCAUACAAUGGCUGGUACAGAGGGUUGCCAACCCGCGAGGGGGAGCUAAUCCCAUAAAGCCAGUCGUAGUCCGGAUCGCAGUCUGCAACUCGACUGCGUGAAGUCGGAAUCGCUAGUAAUCGCGGAUCAGAAUGUCGCGGUGAAUAC
rnacentral:rRNA from 1 species